GAACUACUGCUCUUAGAACCAGAAAUAAAUAGGCUUACCCCUUCAAAAGAAUCGAAUCCGGUUGGGGAAGAAAAAAAAUAUUUUUUUUAUUGAGCGCCUUCGCUCAUCUUGUUUUGAUGACCUUAUCAGAACCUUAUCAGAAUCAGAAUUUUUUAUCAUAUUAAUUUCUACUCUACCUUCCCCGAGUUCAUUCUCGAGG
rnacentral:lncRNA from 1 species